GAUGAAGGUGCUUGCACUUCUGACCUUAGCGGCGAACGGGUGAGUAACACGUAAGGAAUCUACCUAUAANCGGGGGAUAACAUUCGGAAACGGGUGCUAAUACCGCAUAAUAUCUUCUUCCGCAUGGAAGAAGAUUGAAAGACGGCCCUGCUGUCACUUAUAGAUGACCUUGCGGUGCAUUAGUUAGUUGGUGGGGUAACGGCCUACCAAGACGAUGAUGCAUAGCCGACCUGAGAGGGUGAUCGGCCACAUUGGGACUGAGACACGGCCCAAACUCCUACGGGAGGCAGCAGUAGGGAAUCUUCCGCAAUGGGCGAAAGCCUGACGGAGCAAUGCCGCGUGAGUGAAGAAGGCCUUCGGGGUCGUAAAACUCUGUUAUAAGAGAAGAACAAAUUGUAGAGUAACUGCUACAGUCUUGACGGUAUCUUAUCAGAAAGCCACGGCUAACUACGUGCCAGCAGCCGCGGUAAUACGUAGGUGGCAAGCGUUGUCCGGAUUUAUUGGGCGUAAGGGAGCGCAGGUGGUUUCUUAAGUCUGAUGUGAAGCCCACGGCUUAACCGUGGAGGGUCAUUGGAAACUGGGAAACUUGAGUACAGAAGAGGAAUGUGGAACUCCAUGUGUAGCGGUGGAAUGCGUAGAUAUAUGGAAGAACACCAGUGGCGAAGGCGACAUUCUGGUCUGUUACUGACACUGAGGCUCGAAAGCGUGGGGAGCAAACAGGGUUAGAUACCCUGGUAGUCCACGCCGUAAACGAUGAGUGCUAGGUGUUGGAGGGUUUCCGCCCUUCAGUGCCGCAGUUAACGCAUUAAGCACUCCGCCUGGGGAGUACGACCGCAAGGUUGAAACUCAAAGGAAUUGACGGGGACCCGCACAAGCGGUGGAGCAUGUGGUUUAAUUCGAAGCAACGCGAAGAACCUUACCAAGUCUUGACAUCCUUUGACCACCCUAGAGAUAGGGCUUUCCCUUCGGGGACAAAGUGACAGGUGGUGCAUGGUUGUCGUCAGCUCGUGUCGUGAGAUGUUUGGGUUAAAGUCCCGCAACGAGCGCANCCCCUAUUAUUAGUUGCCAGCAUUUAGUUGGGCACUCUAAUGAGACUGCCGGUGACAACCCGGAGGAAGGUGGGGAUGACCUCNAAUCAGCAUGNCCCUUUAUGACUUGGGCUACACACGUGCUACAAUGGAUGGUACAACGAGUCGCAACCCGCGAGGGCAAGAAAUCUUUUAAGCCAUUCCCA
rnacentral:rRNA from 1 species